rnacentral:rRNA from 1 species
UGGGGAAUAUUGGACAAUGGGUGAGAGCCUGAUCCAGCCAUGCCGCGUGCAGGAAGAAGGCGUUAUGCGUUGUAAACUGCUUUUUGCCAGGGGAUAAAAUGACCGUGCGCGGUUAAUUGAAGGUACCUGGUGAAUAAGCCACGGCUAACUACGUGCCAGCAGCCGCGGUAAUACGUAGGUGGCAAGCGUUGUCCGGAUUUAUUGGGUUUAAAGGGUGCGUAGGUGGCCCUGUAAGUCAGUGGUGAAAUAUCUCAGCUUAACUGAGAGGGUGCCAUUGAUACUGCAGGGCUUGAGUACAGAUGAGGUAGGCGGAAUUGACGGUGUAGCGGUGAAAUGCAUAGAUAUCGUCAAGAACACCGAUAGCGAAGGCAGCUUACCAAGCUGUAACUGACACUGAGGCACGAAAGUGUGGGGAUCAAACAGGAUUAGAUACCCUCGUAGUCCCUGAGCGGGCUGGCAAGGCGCAU